GGGAAACGUGGGUCUAAUACCGGAUAGGAGCCAUUUUUAGUGUGAUGGUUGGAAAGUUUUUUCGGUGUAGGAUGAGCUCGCGGCCUAUCAGCUUGUUGGUGGGGUAAUGGCCUACCAAGGCGGCGACGGGUAGCCGGCCUGAGAGGGUGGACGGCCACAUUGGGACUGAGAUACGGCCCAG
rnacentral:rRNA from 1 species